AUGGCGGAUACGGUGUUGAGCAUGGCGAUGUCCAUGCUGGGAGGCGCCAUCAGCACGGCCGCCUCUGCCGCCACCGCGGAGAUGAGCCUCCUCAUGGGUGUGCGCAAGGACAUCUGGUUCAUCAAAGAUGAGCUAAAGACUAUGCAAGCAUUCCUGGCAGCUGCUGAAGCAACAAAAAACAAAGACAUGCUACUGAAGGUGUGGGCAGAGCAAGUAAGGGACUUGUCCUACAAUAUUGAAGAUUGCCUUGGUGAAUUCAUGGUGCAUGUGGCAAGUGAAAGCUUGUCACGGAAGCUUAUGAAGCUCAAAGACCGACAUCACAUCGCUAUGCAGAUCCAUGAUCUCAAAUCAAGAGUCGAAGAAGUGAGCAGUAGGAAUGCCCGUUAUAACUGGAUCACAACCAAGGCCGCCAACACCGUUGAUGAGUUGAAGUCCAACAUGGAAGAUGUUCGCAAGCACUCGGGUAGCAACAUUGAUGAGGCAGAGCUUGUGGGCUUUGUUAAGCCUAAGGAGGAGUUAACUCAGAUGAUAGAUGUUGACUCCAGGGAUGGUCUUCGCAAGGAGAUAUGUGUUGUUGGCAUGGGUGGUUUAGGAAAGACCACUCUUGCACGGAAGACAUAUGAAAAUGAAGAUACUUUGAAGAAAUUUUCUUGUCAUGCUUGGAUCACAGUAUCACAAUCAUUUUCCAAGACAGAGAUGCUCAUGGAUAUGAUCAAACAGUUUUCUGAUAGUGAUUCACAAUGGAGAUUCUUGGAUGGUUUUGAAGGCAAGACAGGGCGAGCAGAAGACCUCUCCAAGUACCUCCCAAAUCAGUUAAAGGAUAGGAGGUACUUUAUUAUUCUUGAUGACUUGUGGAACAUUCAUGAUUGGGAAUGGAUAAAAGAUUUUUCCCUUCCUAGUAGUAACGAGAAAGGUAGUCGGAUAAUAGUAACAACACGAAAUGUUAGCUUAGCUCAGCAUAUUACUGCUAAUGAGUUGAUCUACCACCUUAAACCCCUAGACUCACUUGAUACCACAAAUUUGCUACUGAGAAAGAGUAGAAAAGGAUGA
rnacentral:rRNA from 1 species